GACGAACGUUGGCGGCGUGCUUAAUACAUGCAAGUCAACUGAAGCAGUGGUAGCAAUAUCGCUGUGGAGGUGGCGCACGGGUGAGUAACACGUAGGUAAUCUGCCUUCAGGUCUGGCAUAACUCCGGGAAACCGGGGCUAAUAGCAGAUGAUGCAGCGGCUCGACAUCGAGACAGUUGUUAAAGCUAUGGCGCCUGAAGAUGAGCCUGCGUCUGAUUAGCUAGUUGGCGGGGUGACGGCCCACCAAGGCAACGAUCAGUAGCUGGUCUGAGAGGAUGAUCAGCCACACUGGAACUGAGACACGGUCCAGACUCCUACGGGAGGCAGCAGUAAGGAAUAUUGCUCAAUGGGAGAAAUCCUGAAGCAGCAACGCCGCGUGAGGGACGAAGGGCUUUUGCUUGUAAACCUCUGUAGUGAGAGAAAAAAAUCCCAAUCUUUGGGACAUGAUGGUAUCUCAAAAGUAAGCCCCGGCUAACUACGU
rnacentral:rRNA from 1 species